rnacentral:tRNA from 1 species
GCAUUCAUGGUGUAGUGGUCUGCAUGUUCGACGCGUAACCGAGAGGUCCGUGGUUCGAUUCCCGGCGAAGGCG